rnacentral:tRNA from 1 species
GCGGAGGUUGCCGAGCCAGGUCAAAGGCGCAGGGCUUAGGAUCCUGACGUCUUCAGAUUUGAGAGCCUCUCUGUAGGGAUUCGCGAGUUCGAAUCUCGCCCUCCGCACCA